GGGGCUGUAACGGUUUCGACGUGCUGGCGAACGUUAUAUUGUGAUGCAGGUCGAGAGCGAGCUACCUCUCGGAAAUCAAUGGCUCAAAAAACAGUACAUGCGAACAACAUCGUACCCUUUGCUCGUAAGCAAGCACUAGUUGCUGCCUAAAAACCCCUAGCGGUUCGAGCGUCCGUCAUUUGACUCCGUUAAGGAUGAUGGACCAACCCCCCAACGGAUGCUCCAGUUCACCGUCUCUGGUUGGUAACUGGCUAAGACUUUACCAGAGAAUCCUAUCGUCCGGGAUAAGGGACGAUUCCCGCGUUGAGGAUCAGAAACGCUAAACCUGUGAAUGAGUGAUGUAUUAAUACCCAGGGCGGACACGGGUUCGACUCCCGUCAGCUCCAUUA
rnacentral:tmRNA from 1 species